rnacentral:rRNA from 1 species
CCUACGGGCGGCAGCAGUGAGGAAUAUUGGUCAAUGGACGAGAGUCUGAACCAGCCAAGUAGCGUGAAGGAUGACUGCCCUAUGGGUUGUAAACUUCUUUUGUAUGGGAAUAAAAUGUUCCACGUGUGGUGUUAUGUAGGUACCAUAGGAAUAAGGAUCGGCUAACUCCGUGCCAGCAGCCGCGGUAAUACGGAGGAUCCGAGCGUUAUCCGGAUUUAUUGGGGUUAAAGGGUGCGUAGGUGGAUUGUUAAGUCAGUUGUGAAAGUUUGCGGCUCAACCGCAAAAUUGCAGUUGAAACUGGCAGUCUUGAGUACAGGAGAGGUGGGCGGAAUUCGUGGUGUAGCGGUGAAAUGCUUAGAUAUCACGCAGAACCCCGAUUGCGAAGGCAGCUUACUGGAUUGCAACUGACACUGAGGCACGAAAGUGUGGGUAUCAAACAGGAUUAGAUACCCUGGUAGUC